CUGCCAUGAUUUAUGAUACACACACACACACGCACACACACACACACACACACACACACACACACACACACACCCCUAGUAGGCAUAUAGACUUAGAUUUGGAAGAUGUACUGAAUUGACAGUACAUUCCUUUUCAGCAAAACUCUUCUUUUCCUUAACUCUGCAAACCAGAAACACAACAAAUUGUGCAUUAGAAAUGCAGCAUUCCAAAAUCAAACUGUGCAUACCCUUUGACACAGCAGCGCUACUACUGGACUUAUACCCCAAAGAGAUACUAAAGAAGGGAAAGGGACCUAUAUGUGCCAAAAUGUUUGUAGUGGCUAGAAACUGGAAAAUGAAUGGAUGCCCAUCAAUUGAAAAAUGGUUGGGUAAAUUGUGAUAUAUGAAUGUUAUAGAAUAUUAUUGUUCUGUAAGAUACGACCAGCAGGAUGAAUACAGAGAGGAUUGGAGAGAAUAACAUGAACUGAUGCUAAGUGAAAUGAGCAGAACCAGGAGAUCAUUAUAUACGUCAACAAUGAUACUGUAUGAGGUUGUAUUCUGAUGGAAGUGGAUUUCUUUGACAAAGAGACCUAAUUCAGUUUCAAUUGAUCAAUGAUGGACAGACGCAGCUACACCCAAAGAAAGAACACUGGAAAAUGAAUGUAAACUGUUUGCAUUUUUGUUUUUCUUCCCGGGUUAUUUUUAUCUUCUGAAUCCAAUUCUCCCUGUGCAACAAGAGAACUGUUCAGUUCUGCACACAUAGAUUGUAUCAAGGAUAUAUUGUGACAUAUUUAACAUAUAUAGGACUGCUUGCCAUCUGGGGGAGGGGGUGGAGGGAGGGAAGGGAAAAAUCGGAACAGAAGUGAGUGCAAGGGAUAAUGUUGUAAAAAAUUAUCCUGGCAUGGGUUCUGGCAAUAAAAAAGUUAUUAUAAAAAGUCAAAUACUAUUUCAGAUGGAUCAAUUAUGACUUACAAAUAGGGAGCCUAAAAGAGUAGGCAAUAUUAAGUCCAAGUCCCUCAGAUUUCAAGAAUAUAUUUAACUCUCAUCAGAACUUUAAAGGUUUGAUAUAGCGAAAACAGUGAAAAAUAUACAGACUUCAAGAUCAGCUCAUGUGGUUUUCAUACCAGCAUUACUGAUAAUUAGCUAUGUGACCUUCAGCAAGUUAUUUUUUAAAAAGAUAUUGAGUUUUAAGCACGUAUAUCUGUGACAUUUUUUGUGCCUCCAGAUAUAUAAACUGGGAUCACAUUUGUUAAGAGAUGUACUGCUAUUUUAUUAUCUCAUGUGGAUAUGUGUAUAUGUAUAAAUACAUAUAUAUAUAUAUAUAUAUAUAUAAUAUAUAUGUAUAUGCUCGGUAUGUCUAUGUCUAUUUAUAGUUAGAGAUAUUUUCUUUUUUCCCUUCAACAUGAAAAAGAUAAAAUAGAUCUCUAUUCAUUUUUUAAAUGGAGAGAUUGGGGUACAAGAGAUGUAAAAUAUUAUAUCACUUUCAGAUGAGAUCACUUAUUUAAAUGCUUAUUCUGUUACAAGAUAUUACUCAUGUGAAGGAAAUAAUUUGAAAAUGUUUGUAAUGUAAAAACAAUUUCACCUCUUCUUUUACUAUAGCUUGCCCUUUCUCUUUUAUUUGUUCUUCUUAUAUUGCUUUGCUUUUUUUUUUCAAUUAUCUAUGCUCUAUAGAGAAAAAGCUGAGGGUAAGGGUAGACUAAUCAUAUCAAAAACUAGGUUUCAUACAUACCUGAACUAGCAUUGGCUUUAUGAAAGACAAGGCACAUAAAUAUACAACCCAUUUAUAAAUACCUAGAAAAGGAAUAAUGAAUACAGAUUUAAAUAAUGAGUUUGUAGAAAAAAUAUUUUUACUCAUUUAGGAAAGGAAAAAAAUGGUAGAAUGCUAAUUCUGGUAAGUCUGCAAUGUUUCAGUGAAUCUUGGAUCUCACCAAGGUUUUUUUUUUUUUAGGGUAUUUCCUCUAUCAUUCAUAUCAUAAUCUAUCCAUAACUCUUUAUCCAUGUUCUCCUAUAAAUGCUCUAUAGAUAAUCUUUCCAACAGUGUCAACUUUCACUUCAGUCUUUCAAAAUUUCAGAGUCACCAGUCCAUCAUUUAGGCUAUCAUAUUGGCUCUCUUCUGAUAAUACACUUUCUCUAUAAUAUCCCUUUUUUCUUUAUUUUUUUAAAUAACUUUUUAUUGCCAGAACCCAUGUCAGGGUAAUUUUUACAACAUUAUCCCUUGCACUCACUUCUGUUCCCAUUUUUCCCCUCCCAUCCUCCACCUCCUCCCCCAGAUGGCAAGCAGUCCUAUACAUGUUAAAUAGGUUACAGUAGAUCUUGGAUACAAUAUAUGUGUGCAGAACCGAACAGUUCUCUUGUUGCUCAGGGAGAAUUGGAUUUAGAAGAUAUAAAUAACCCGGGAAGAAGAACAAAAAUGCAAGCAGUUUACAUUCAUUUCCCAGUGUUCUUUCUUUGUGUGUAGCUGCUUCUGUCCAUCCUUGAUCAAUUGAAACUAAGUUAGAUCUUUUUGUUGAAGAAAUCCACUUCCAUUAGAAUACAUCCUCAUAAAGUAUCGUUGUUGAGGUAUAUAAUGAUCUCCUGGUUCUGCUCAUUUCACUUAGCAUCAGUUCAUGUAAUUCUCUCUAAUCCUCUCUGUAUUCAUCCUUCCAGUCGCUUCUUACAGAACAAUAAUAUUCCAUAACAUUCAUAUACCACAAUUUACCCAACCAUUCUCCAAUUGAUGGGCAUCCAUUCAUUUUCCAGCUUCUAGACACUACAAACAGAGCUGCCACAAACAUUUUGGCACAUACAGGUCCCUUUCCCUUCUUUAGUAUCUCUUUGGGGUAUAAGCCCAAUAGAAACACUGCUGGCUCCAAGGGUAUGCACAGUUUGAUAACUUUUUGAGCAUAGUUCAAAAUCACUCUCUAGAAUGACUGGAUGUGUUCACAAUUCCACCAACAAUGUAUCAGUGUCCCUGUUUUCCCACAUCCCCUCCAGCAUUCCGCAUUAUCUUUCCCUGUCAUUCUAACAUCCCUUUUUUCCACUUUUGAAUAAAAUGAUGAGUGGAAAUAGGAUACUACUUAUUUGAUCCUAC
rnacentral:lncRNA from 1 species